AUUGAACGCUGGCGGCAUGCCUUACACAUGCAAGUCGAACGGCAGCACGGGUGCUUGCACCUGGUGGCGAGUGGCGAACGGGUGAGUAAUACAUCGGAACAUGUCCUGUAGUGGGGGAUAGCCCGGCGAAAGCCGGAUUAAUACCGCAUACGAUCCACGGAUGAAAGCGGGGGCCCUUCGGGCCUCGCGCUAUAGGGUUGGCCGAUGGCUGAUUAGCUAGUUGGUGGGGUAAAGGCCUACCAAGGCGACGAUCAGUAGCUGGUCUGAGAGGACGACCAGCCACACUGGAACUGAGACACGGCCCAGACUCCUACGGGAGGCAGCAGUGGGGAAUUUUGGACAAUGGGCGAAAGCCUGAUCCAGCAAUGCCGCGUGUGUGAAGAAGGCCUUCGGGUUGUAAAGCACUUUUGUCCGGAAAGAAAUCCUGGACUCUAAUACAGUCGGGGGAUGACGGUACCGGAAGAAUAAGCACCGGCUAACUACGUG
rnacentral:rRNA from 1 species